rnacentral:lncRNA from 1 species
AACUGCCAGGGCCCUGAAUAUGUGCUCUGUCUUGAACAGAAAAGCGCAUGAAAAGGGAAAACACACAGGCACACAAAACAACUUUGGCUAAAUCUGACAAACAGGAAGAAAGCAUAUUGGAGAAAGAUGGCUUGGGAGUGUUUGGAUCCACUCUCGAAAUGCAUCACCACCAACCAGCCUUGGUAACACUCUUCAACAGAAAACGCUCACCUAGACCUCUGAACAGCCUGGGGGUUUAUGGUUCUCCUUUAAUCCUCUGCCUCAGUUUCUCAUCAAAAUUAUGGAGCAAAAUCGUUUUAAAUGAAUUCAAAGUGGUUGCCUUACUUCACCGAUUAAACCAUCUACUUGCCCUUGGCCACAGGCAGAGUUCUUAUCAAUGGAAUGAAGAAGAAUAAAGUAAUUCCUAGCUUUGUUGCUUCUCCUUUUAUUUUCACUGGCUUUCUAAAUGAGCCACUUUAUUUUCAAUAUAUUAUUCCACU